UCUGCUAUAAAUUCACUCUAAGUGAACCACUUCCCCUGGCCUAUUUCACAAAGUGAGUUUUUGUUACCUUGCUGUAGCCUAUGUUGCAUCUCUCAUUUCUCUAUAAUUGCUAUGUAGAAGACGGAUUUAAGAAGAAUGAUGGAACAGUUAAUUUCAUCGGAAGUUCUGCGAGUAAUGUUGAUUGGCUCAAUAAAAUCUCCGCCUAAUUAUCAUUUGUGAAGGGAGUAUAUAAGUCGAUUUCAACGCUUAGAUUCAGAUAUGAAAGACCAUCGGAACAUUUCCAAGCUAGCUGCAUCCCGAAAGCUGUAGUGUUCAGCAGUAAAUCGAUCAAUUUAAUUGGCACGCUUUCCUUCGGGAGAGCCUCGUCGGCAUUCGAUUUACCAAUCACAUUACUCCACCGUAACGCUUCCAUAUUUAAGCGGGGUGUAAUGCCCACAGCAAGCAAUCCUUUCCGACGAGAGGAAUUUUUAAUUGCCGUCGUCUGUUCAAAGGGGGCUAUGUAUGUGUGGUAACAAAACACCCUGAUUGAGAUUAUUCGUUUAGAAUAUCAAUGCCACGUGUCGAAUUCACUUAACGUAAUUACGCCGCCUACGGUCGGCAAAUUGUGGUGGCGGAAUGAUUCGAUUGGUGUCCCAUUUUAAUUCGAUAAAAAAUCUGGCAGGGAGGUACUGCAGUCAUAUCGAUGAAAUGGAAGAAAUUGAAAAACUGUCGUCGCUCAUGAAUUCGAAGCUAAAUAGUUUGAACAGAAUUUCGUGAAAUUCUUUGAAAUGUCCAAAUAGUGAACUCAAUUCAUCGAUGAAUAAGUGAAUAUGACAGCUCAUUUGAUGGAGAGAUAUUCAUUAUAUGAUUCAUUAUGGAUUCCUAACUCAAAAAUUGGCUUCAAUUUAUCGGAUGUAAAAGCAGGCAUUGCAUUUUAUCUUAUCAGAUGAUCAUCUGAGAGAGAUACGGAUCGUAUAACAAGAUAUAAUCUUAGCACUCUUUGAUCGAUCUUUCAUCGAUAUCUCUGGUUCAUAUGAUACUAGAUAAAAUCAUUCAAACUCAGCGGUCCACGCGCCAGUAAUCAAUAUGAAAAUCAGUGACAUUAUUUGCGAGUUCACAGUGCAACCAGCGAGUACCUUUAAAACCCAAAGCAGCAAAUUUUAGGGGAAUCCAUAGCGAUUUGUAAACUACCGAGAGAAGUCCUUUGGUUUCGGAACCCCCUGAAAAUGAAUCAAUUUACCAUUAACUGGAUUCUAUCAGGACCUGGACGAUGGAAAUCUGUGCGUGAAACUACCGUUGGGCGUACGAAAAGAUCUUUAAAAUAAAUUAUAUAUUUUAUGCUUUAACCAAAAGUUCCACCAAUAAUAUACGAAAAAAAAUCUAACAACAAAAAUUGAAUUUCAUACGACGUAAUUUCGCUAUUUAUUUGAAUAGACAUUCAGAUAAACUACCUACAAAUCAGAAGUUUUACUAGAAAUCAGCCGCAUAAUUUUCAAUAAAACAAAAAAAAAUCUAUCAGUGAACGCACUAAUAAAUCUUCUCACAAGAAA